AAUAAUUGGAUGGAUGGAUUAAUGAAUGAAUGAGGGCAUGAACUGUAAAUUAAUGCUGGUGUUUUAUUUCCAUCCAGCCAUGUAUCUUACGCCAGAAGAAAAUAUCCCCAUGUCCUCAUGGUCUUGGCUGUGGAAGAAAAAAAGCAACUCCAUCUUCCCAGCUGCUGAAAGGCGAAGCAAAGCAGAGGCCUGGAUGCAAAGUGUUAUCCCCUCAAGCUCUCAAGUAACUGAAGAAUCUGUGAGAAGCGAUGCCGAACCCAAAUCGCAAACAACCAUCAUCUCAUCCAUCCCUUUGCCAGGCAGUGUUCCUGACUACAUGGAUGAGUUGGAAAAUCCAUCCUUACAAACUAAUCCUUCCUGUGCAGCAAAAAGCAUUGGCCCUGAUAAGGAACCUGGGCAUGGUGUAAUCGGACAGGGACACUCUUUGUUGAAUAAAUUAAGAUUUGACAAAAACAAGCUGUCAUUUGUGAAAUGCCUGACUGAAAAGAAAGAAAGCAAAACAGCCACACAAAAAGGUAUUUUGAGAGGAGCAACUCUGCUGCCUGACCUUCCACAGUAAGGUUCUAACUUGAGGAAUGCAUGCUUUUCCUUGAGCAUGUCUUACAUUUCUA
rnacentral:lncRNA from 1 species